CUCUUAUCGAGAGAGGUGGAGGGACGUGCCCUAUGAUACCCGGCAACCGUCAACAAGCAAUUGUUGAAAUUGGUGCCAAUUCACACAAAGCAAAGGUAUUUGCUUUGAUAGAUGAGAG
rnacentral:ncRNA from 2 species